UACGUAGGGUGCAAGCGUUGUCCGGAAUUAUUGGGCGUAAAGAGCUCGUAGGCGGUCUGUCGCGUCGGCUGUGAAAUCCCGCGGCUCAACCGCGGGUCUGCAGUCGAUACGGGCAGGCUAGAGUUCGGUAGGGGAGACUGGAAUUCCUGGUGUAGCGGUGAAAUGCGCAGAUACCAGGAGGAACACCGAUGGCGAAGGCAGGUCUCUGGGCCGAUACUGACGCUGAGGAGCGAAAGCGUGGGGAGCGAACAGG
rnacentral:rRNA from 1 species